rnacentral:tRNA from 1 species
UGGUCCCGUAGUGGAGCGGUUUAACACGCCUGCCUGUCACGCAGGAGAUCGCGGGUUCGAUUCCCGUCGGGACCGCCAU